rnacentral:lncRNA from 1 species
UGGGAGCCCUGCUCAGCAGACACUCAGCCCUAGCGUGUUGCCUGCUGGUGAGGGUCUCUGCACACCAGCUCUGCAGUCAGCCCUUCAGCUUGUGCUGCAGGCACAAGCCUGGCACACAGGCAGUGCAGCCACGGCAGACCUGGAUCCCAUGCAGCCCAGCCUGGCCCACCAUGCAUCAGGGGAACCCAAGGCACUCAUUCUCCUGCCAGCCGACAGAGCACCCCGAAAGGACAGAGAGGAGCCACAGACAUGGAUGCCCUGGGCCCUACUGUUUGCCCGCUGAGCCCUGCACCAUUCUUGCACCUGGAUGUGUUGGGCAUGGGAAUGCAUCCGACCUGGGGUCAGAAGCACAGGAGGGCACGGGACCUGUCUGUCCACACCCCAGAUGCACAC